GGAUGCGAUCAUACCCAGCAAUAAAGCACC
rnacentral:rRNA from 1 species